GAUGAACGCUGGCGGCGUGCCUAAUACAUGCAAGUCGAGCGAACGGACGAGAAGCUUGCUUUUCUGAUGUUAGCGGCGGACGGGUGAGUAACACGUGGAUAACCUACCUAUAAGACUGGGAUAACUUCGGGAAACCGGAGCUAAUACCGGAUAAUAUUUUGAACCGCAUGGUUCAAAAGUGAAAGACGGUCUUGCUGUCCCUUAUAGAUGGAUCCGCGCUGCAUUAGCUAGUUGGUAAGGUAACGGCUUACCAAGGCAACGAUGCAUAGCCGACCUGAGAGGGUGAUCGGUCACACUGGAACUGAGACACGGUCCAGACUCCUACGGGAGGCAGCAGUAGGGAAUCUUCCGCAAUGGGCGAAAGCCUGACGGAGCAACGCCGCGUGAGUGAUGAAGGUCUUCGGAUCGUAAAACUCUGUUAUUAGGGAAGAACAUAUGUGUAAGUAACUGUGCACAUCUUGACGGUACCUAAUCAGAAAGCCACGGCUAACUACGUG
rnacentral:rRNA from 1 species